GGUACGCACUACUGUCGGCCGGCUUUCGUGCCGGUUUUCCCGUCGUGGCCUUCGCCGGUCGCGGCGGGUGGCUGGCGAGUUUACUUUGAGAAAAUCAGAGUGCUCAACACAGGCGUCUAGCUUGAAUGAUUGUGCAUGGAAUAAUGGAAAAGGAUCACGGUCCUCUUUUAUUGGUUUUGUGGACUGAGAUAAUGGUUAACAGGGACAAACGGGGGCAUUCGUAUCGCUGCGUGAGAGGUGAAAUUCUUGGACCGUAGCGAGACGCCCGACUGCGAAAGCAUUUGCCAAGAAUGUCUUCAUUAAUCAAGAACGAAAGUCAGAGGUUCGAAGGCGAUCAGAUACCGCCCUAGUUCUGACCGUAAACGAUGCCAACUAGCGAUUCGCCGGUGGAUUUCACGCCCUGGUGGGUAGCUUCCCGGAAACGAAAGUCUUCCGGUUCCGGGGGAAGUAUGGUUGCAAAGCUGAAACUUAAAGGAAUUGACGGAAGGGCACCACCAGGAGUGGAGCCUGCGGCUUAAUUUGACUCAACACGGGGAAACUCACCCGGCCCGGACACCGUGAGGAUUGACAGAUUGAGAGCUCUUUCAUGAUUCGGUGGUUGGUGGUGCAUGGGCCGUUCUUAGUUCGUGGAUCGAUUUGUCUGGUUUAUUCCGAUAACGAGCGAGACUCUAGCCUACUAAAUAGCCGCGAUAUUACUUUAACUGUGUCGCGCGCUUCUUAGAGGGAUUCGCGG
rnacentral:rRNA from 1 species